ACAAAUCAUUUAAGUUCAAGACACUUCAAAAGCUCACAUAUGACCAUCCAGAAAGAAAAAUCUCAAUCAAAUCAGAAAUGAUUCCAAAAAUUCCACACAAAAUCAUGAGCAUUCACAACAUGCAUAUCAAGCACCAUACAAAACAUCAGAACAAUUGGAAUUCAUUUGCCAAGUUAAAUGCAUCAAUCAAACUGGACAACACAAGGUGUGACGCAAAUUGUCACACUUAACU
rnacentral:lncRNA from 1 species